ACGGAAGGCAGCAGUGGGGGAUAUUGCACAAUGGGGGAAACCCUGAUCCAGCGACGCCGCGUGAGUGAAGAAGUAUUUCGGUAUGUAGAGCUCUAUCAGCAAGGAAGAAAAUGACGGUACUUGACUAAGAAGCUCCGGCUAAAUACGUGCCAGCAGCCGCGGUAAUACGUAUGGAGCAAGCGUUAUCCGGAUUUACUGGGUGUAAAGGGAGCGUAGACGGCAAAGCAAGUCUGAAGUGAAAUCCCGGGGCUCAACCCCGGAACUGCUUUGGAAACUGUUUAGCUAGAGUGCAGGAGAGGUAAGCGGAAUUCCUAGUGUAGCGGUAAAAUGCGUAGAUAUUAGGAGGAACACCAGUGGCGAAGGCGGCUCACUGGACUGUAACUGACGUUGAGGCUCGAAAGCGUGGGGAGCAAACAGGAUUAGAUACCCUGGUA
rnacentral:rRNA from 1 species